rnacentral:rRNA from 1 species
GACGAACGCUGGCGGCGUGCUUAACACGUGCAAGUCGAACGGAAAGGCCCCCUUGUGGGGUACUCGAGUGGCGAACGGGUGAGUAACACGUGAGUAACCUACCCUUGACUUUGGGAUAACUUCAGGAAACUGGGGCUAAUACCGGAUAGGAGCUCCUGCUGCAUGGUGGGGGUUGGAAAGUUUCGGCGGUUGGGGAUGGACUCGCGGCUUAUCAGCUUGUUGGUGGGGUAGUGGCUCACCAAGGCUUUGACGGGUAGCCGGCCUGAGAGGGUGACCGGCCACAUUGGGACUGAGAUACGGCCCAGACUCCUACGGGAGGCAGCAGUGGGGAAUAUUGCACAAUGGGCGGAAGCCUGAUGCAGCAACGCCGCGUGCGGGAUGACGGCCUUCGGGUUGUAAACCGCUUUCGCCUGUGACGAAGCGUGAGUGACGGUAAUGGGUAAAGAAGCACCGGCUAACUACGUG